rnacentral:lncRNA from 1 species
CAUUACAAUUUAGUUUCAGCUCAAACGAUGAUUGAAUUACAGGUUAAAAUCUGAAUUUUAUGUUCUCAGCCCAGAACCUGGCUCUCAGCCCGGUGUGUUGAUGUGGAUCAGCGGCGCUCUGCCGCAACCUGCAGUCUCACCAAGUCUGACCCGGUCCAACUCCACCACCAAGGAGGAAAACACAACAACCAGUGAGCUUGAAGACGAAAAAGGGAUGAUGGCUUGGCUCGCUCAGGGUUUGGAGAGAGUUGUUCCUCAGCCGGAUCUGAACAGGAAGGAAAGCCCACCAGCUGAGCAGCCCCCCGAGGUACAGCAGCAGUUACUGCAGGACGUCCUGUAGGAGAUAAAGCAGAUGAACACACUCAUGUUUUAUUAGAGAGCACAAGAUCUGCCUUCAUGGAGGGAUUACUGAACGGGCCCAAAGUGUCCUUCACCUACAAAAUGUCACUAAAAAGACGAACCAGGAGGAGACUCAAAAUGAGCAACAAGAAACAAAACCACGGUUAAAUUAACACAACUUUAAUAAGAGAAGGC